rnacentral:rRNA from 1 species
UGAUCCUGGCUCAGAUUGAACGCUGGCGGCAGGCCUAACACAUGCAAGUCGAGCGGUAACAGAGAGUAAGCUUGCUUACUUUGCUGACGAGCGGCGGACGGGUGAGUAAUGCCUAGGGAUCUGCCCAGUCGAGGGGGAUAACAGUUGGAAACGACUGCUAAUACCGCAUACGCCCUACGGGGGAAAGGAGGGGACCUUCGGGCCUUCCGCGAUUGGAUGAACCUAGGUGGGAUUAGCUAGUUGGUGAGGUAAUGGCUCACCAAGGCGACGAUCCCUAGCUGUUCUGAGAGGAUGAUCAGCCACACUG